AUAUUUCUCUCUUGAAACCCUCCCCCCCUUCCCCAAGAAAAAAAUUCUAAUAAUUAUUUUAUUUUCCAUUAUCUUUCCCACUCUUUUCUUUUUUUUUUCUCAAAAAAAUAAAUUUAUAUUUAAUUUCUCUAAAAAAGGAUUAUUACCAUUUUCCCCAAGCUCUUUCUCUCCCUAACAAAAAGGGGUCGUUUAUCUUGUUCCGUUUCGGUUAUUUUAGGGUUUCGUUUAAUCAAAGGCCGUUGAAGGAGGACGAUUUAAUGGCGGCUGCGACGGCGCAAGGGAUGGACCCAGCUGUACUAGACGAUAUAAUCAGACGGCUAACGGAAGUCCGGUCAGCCAGGCCAGGGAAACAAGUGCAAUUAUCUGAAUCUGAGAUCAAACAGCUUUGUGUUGCUUCGAAAGAUAUCUUCGUUCAACAACCUAAUUUGCUUGAACUCGAAGCACCCAUCAAAAUUUGCGGUGACAUACAUGGGCAAUAUAGUGACUUACUAAGGCUGUUCGAGUAUGGGGGUUUUCCUCCUCAUGCUAAUUACCUAUUUCUAGGCGACUAUGUUGAUCGUGGCAAGCAGAGUUUGGAAACUAUAUGUCUUUUACUUGCUUAUAAGAUUAAGUACCCAGAGAACUUUUUUCUAUUGCGAGGAAACCAUGAAUGUGCAUCUAUUAAUCGGAUAUAUGGAUUUUAUGAUGAAUGCAAACGACGGUUUAAUGUGAGACUGUGGAAAUGCUUUACUGAGUGCUUUAACUGUCUUCCUGUGGCGGCUCUUAUAGAUGACAAAAUAUUGUGUAUGCAUGGUGGUCUUUCCCCUGACUUGACAAACCUGGAUCAAAUUAGAAACUUAUCUCGUCCAACUGCAAUUCCUGACACCGGUUUGCUGUGUGAUUUGCUCUGGUCUGACCCUGAUAGAGAUGUUAAAGGAUGGGGAAUGAAUGACAGAGGAGUUUCGUACACCUUUGGUGCGGAUAAGGUGUCUGAAUUCUUAGCAAAGCAUGAUUUAGAUCUUGUUUGCCGUGCGCAUCAGGUUGUGGAGGAUGGUUACGAAUUCUUUGCUGAUAGGCAACUUGUUACAAUAUUUUCAGCACCUAACUAUUGUGGUGAAUUUGAUAAUGCUGGUGCGAUGAUGAGUGUCGAUGAAAACCUGAUGUGUUCUUUCCAGAUUCUCAAGCCAGCAGAGAAAAAAGCAAAGUUCAUGUCCACUAAAAUGUAAUGGUUGCAGCUAUCAACAUUUAAUGGCUUGCAAGUCUUUACGAAGAUUCAGGCUGUAUGAUUAUCUGGAUCACCUCUAAGUAGAGAAUAUUCAAAAGUCGAAAAAGGCUUCUAAUGGGGAAGAAUGGAAAUGAUUUUCUUUCUAUUGUAUAAUUUAGUGAUCAACCCCCCUAUCCUCAGUAUCUACUUGCUCGAUUGUCCGCCUUCUUCUCCUUCAAUGUACUCUUUUGUCGGUUCUGAAUAUUGGUGAUUGUUAUCCAUCACCCUCCAAAAAUGGUUGAAACUGAAGACUGCUGGCACCCAAACUUUUGCUAGAGGAGAUGCAAGUGAUGGCUUUAUGGAUACUGUUUGUAGGGUAAAAAGGUUUUCAAGUCUGCUUUCGUGUAGCAUAAGCCGCCACUGUAUUUCUCUUAAUUCUUCUUCUCUAUUUUCCCCUCCAUUUUCUACCUUUUUUCUUUAUAGCAGUUAAUCUGCGGUUCAUGUAUAGAUAUAUCUGGUCUGACAGCUCAUAGUCGUGCUUUGAGUUGUUGGAACAAUAAAAUAUGGCCGCUUUUGUCGUCAAAGGAUUUUUUUCGUAUUUCGCAGACUUUUUGCUAAUUGAGAUGUUUGUAUUGGGUAUGUUUAGGUGCAAUCAAAUGUUAUGAGAUGAUUAGCUGCAAUUAAGAGCCUGUUGCUCACGUGUAAUGAUUAAUUUUGUUUUUGAACA